ACCUGGCUGUCUCAGUCGGUAGAGAAUACAACUCUUGAUCUUGGGGUUGUGAGUUCAAGCCCCACGUUGGGUG
rnacentral:tRNA from 1 species